AGCGAAAUGAAUUAUUUCAAUUUCGCUACUGUCUACGGCCUACAGCAUGCGUCACAUCGGUCACGUCUUGCAAGUCUUGUGAUUUGAGUUCGUGUUCGUCUAUUAAAUUCAGAUUUGUUUUUCAAUUAAAGAAUUCGCGAUGUCUGAUAAAGAAAUUCUAAUGUUUGGUGAUAAUGAAAGAUAUGAAGAAGAUGAUGAUGACGAUUAUGAUGAACAUAAUAUUUUAAAAGAAGAGUUAAUGACUUAGUUUACACCGAGCACUUGCAAAUCCUGCUUUAUAUGCGAAGAAUUGGAAGGAAUAUGCUGGCAAAGGUUUUUGUAAAGAUUUAGCUUGGGAAAGCAUUGGAGCUAAUUUGUCAAAGAAAAUGUCAGGAAAAGAUGUCGCCAAGAUAUGAUAUAAUAUUCGCCAACGAUUUGAUAGAGAAAGACGAAAAGUCCUAGCAGCUUGCAAAGGAAAAUCUGGGCAAGGGACAAAUCCAUUGUAUGUACCAAAAUGGCAAUUGUAUAAUCUCUGUUUCUUAAUGGAUCAUAUCAUGCCUCGCAAAACUGCAAGUAAUUACAUAUCAAAGAAGAAUGUUAACAAAAUCACAACUGUUGAAAAAGCUGCUCUUUCCUCGACCUGUAUUCAACCUUUACCAUUAGCGUCACCGUCUUUGUUAUCAAAAGUAACAUCAUCUCCGCAAGUAAUAUUUUUACAAGCACCGUCUUCACCAGCGUCAAAAAUAUCAAUACCUUCGUCUUCGUCAAAUGCAUGGUCGAGUGAUGUGGAGUCAAUGAUUAGUAUACAUCUGUAUUUUCAAUCGAGAAUAGCAAGGAAAAGGAAGCUUGUUUUCAUACGCCACCUUCGCCCAAUCUUAAUGUGGAGGAAUGUUCUAUAACAUCGUAAGGACAUGUUAAAAACGAUGCAAAAGAUAUCUGCAUCCAUUACAAAAAUUGUUGCUGAACUUGAUAAUUUUGCUAAACGCAGAAAGAAAGAUGAUAAUCUACUUAUGUAAAGCAUAACUAAACAAUCAACAGCUCUAACUUCUUUUGUUACAAAAUUAGAGAAGUCCUCUGAGAAUUCAGAGGAUUGGAAUACAAGUGUGAUCCUCCCAUUAUACAAAAAAGGCGACCAUGAAAAGACAGAAAAUUACAGAGAUAUAUCGUUGCUCUACUCAGCUUAUAAAAUCUAUACAGAAAUACUAAGGAGAAAAUUGGAAGAAGAAACAGAAAACUUAGAAGUACUACCCCGAGAGUCAAGGAGGAUUUAGGAGUGGAAGAGGAACGAUGGAGAACAUUUUCAUAUUGAACCACUUGGUGAAAAACGAAAAGCUCAAAGAGGAGAAGGUAUUUGCCUUUUUUUUUAACCAAAGGUAAUGGUUUUUCACAGAAGCGGAAAAGAAAAGAUAGGAAAAUGAAUAUGAA
rnacentral:lncRNA from 1 species